CGUCGAGUGGCGGACGGGUGAGUAAUACUUAGGAAUCUGCCCAUUAGUGGGGGACAACUCGGGGAAACUCGAGCUAAUACCGCAUACGCCCUACGGGGGAAAGCGGAGGACCUUUCGGGGCUCCGCGCUAAUGGAUGAGCCUAAGUCGGAUUAGCUUGUUGGUGAGGUAAAGGCUCACCAAGGCGACGAUCCGUAGCUGGUCUGAGAGGACGAUCAGCCACACUGGGACUGAGACACGGCCCAG
rnacentral:rRNA from 1 species